rnacentral:sRNA from 1 species
ACGCUGCACAAUCAGCAAGUUAACGUCAAAGUAACAAAUAAAAGAACCUGCCUCACCAGCAGGUUUUUUU